UCCCAAAAUUUUUAUCUGGACGGCUAACCCGACCAGCGAUGCAGCAAUGCCGAGCGUUCCCGAUGGCCUCUGCGAUUUGCUCAUGUACAGGCCCCUUUCGAAUCCGUUCACGUCAGCAUCCCACGAAGAAUUGCGAGAAUUCAUUGCCAUUACAUCUAAAUUGAACAGCACAUGGUGUGGCAUCGAUAUAAGGCAGGAGAUCAGAAAAGACGUUAUCUCGCAAUUUGACAAACAUUCAAACACUUAAAUGGCCCACUGUCCUACGGGUGAUCUAUACGUCGAGAAUGUGCAGCACUACAGCACAUUGGACUUGGAUUUCGGGAACGCCACAUCAGAUGCUGAGGUCCAAGAGUUCACCAGUCUUUUACUGAAAAUUCGCAUGUGCCAGGAACGUGCCCGAGGCACAUCUGACCGUUUCGGCUACUUGUUCCUCGGCGUCUCUCCCCUUGCACACAAUGUCACGGACGCCGACGCUGCACUGAAGAAUAUGGCCAGUCACUUUCAACGUCUGCUAGAGUG